AUACGUAGGGUGCAAGCGUUAAUCGGAAUUACUGGGCGUAAAGCGUGCGCAGGCGGUUUUGUAAGACAGUGGUGAAAUCCCCGGGCUCCACCUGGGAACUGCCCUUGUGACUGCAAAGCUGGAGUGCGGCAGAGGGGGAUGGCAUUCCGCGUGUGGCCGUGAAAUGCGUAGAUAUGCGGAGGAACACCGAUGGCGAAGGCAAUCCCCUGGGCCUGCACUGACGCUCAUGCACGAAAGCGUGGGGAGCAAACAGGAUUAGAUACCCUGGUAGUCCACGCCCUAAACGAUGUCAACUGGUUGUUGGGGAUUUAUUUUCUCAGUAACGAAGCUAACGCGUGAAGUUGACCGCCUGGGGAGUACGGCCGCAAGGUUAAAACUCAAAUGAAUUGACGGGG
rnacentral:rRNA from 1 species